rnacentral:rRNA from 1 species
UACGUAGGUGGCGAGCGUUGUCCGGAUUUACUGGGCGUAAAGGGCUUGUAGGCGGUCCGUUAAGUCCGAUGUGAAAUCUCCCGGCUCAACUGGGAGAGGUCAUUGGAUACUGGCGGACUAGAGGGGGGUAGAGGAAAGCAGAAUUCCUGGUGUAGCGGUGAAAUGCGUAGAUAUCGGGAGGAACACCAGUGGCGAAGGCGGCUUCCUGGCCUGUUCUUGACGCUGAGGCGCGAAAGCUAGGGGAGCAAACGGG